ACAAAGUUAAACUGCCACUGGGGAAGAGCCUCUUUCAACAGACCCUGCAGACUGGCUAUCACCUCUGACAGACUGCAGCACAGAGGCUAUUCGCCCAGGGCCGCCACUGUCUCUGUGCACGGAGGACACGAAGAGAACAAAAGUUCAGGAGGAAUCAUGGACAGAGGUGUUGCAGCAACCAGCAAUCAGGAACCUGAGGAGGAGCCUCAGACAGCAGUAGCACAGCAGCACGACUCUUCUGACUGCAGCCAUCCAGCAAGCAGUAUGUGAGGAGCAAGCACAAGUGUCCCAUUUGUGGGGAACUGUAUAUAGUCCAACACCUGAGAAGCAUAGAAGAGGUGGUCAACAAAACAGAGUUGAGUCUUCUGAGCAAGUUUUCUCACAGACAGUGAGUGUCCCGUUUCCUCUUAAGAAAUGUGUAACCCAGAUGUAAUUCCAGUUACUAAGUUUACUAUAAGUGUAUUAUUAUUGUUUGUAUUAUUUGGGGUGUAGUGCCCUUUAAGGGUUAGGAUGGCACCCUAUGACAUGUUUUUACGACAUGUCGGGUGAGUUACGAUAGCGCCCCUGUGAGAAUCGCAAGCUCAGACAGCUAGGGCUCCACAGUGUAUGUUCCCUCUGUGUGCUCUGCUCAUCAGGUCAUGUUGUGUUUUUCCUAUUCGUCGUGUGGUGUAAGAGACUGCUGCGCAUGUCUUGUGGCGUCUAAGGAAGACAGCUGCCAGCUGCCAUCGCUGGGACAUCGAUUUCCCUAACUCCUUUAACAUACACACACGACUUCCUCACAUAGAGCUCUAUGAACAUAUUUAGUACUUUUUGCUGGCGAGCAGUUCUAUUAAUUUUUUUUCUCAAAGGACAAUUAAAGGACACAAUUGUGAACUAUUUCCUUUUCUUGGAUUGAAGACCAUUUCGGAUUUCAUUUCAUUUCAUGGACUGAGAAAAGGACUCAAACUAACAGAAAAUGGGUACAAGUUUGAUAUUAUCCAUACAGAAUUUAAUUUUCUAUAUUACUUGAUGAAAGUGUGUUUUCUAUGUUUAGACUGUUGGCGUUGUUGGAAGAAUGGGGUAUGUUGCAUUUCAGUCCAGUUUGAAUUUCAAAAUAAAUCUGGAUCAAUAGUA